rnacentral:rRNA from 1 species
AUUGAACGCUGGCGGCAUGCCUUACACAUGCAAGUCGAACGGCAGCACGGGGGCAACCCUGGUGGCGAGUGGCGAACGGGUGAGUAAUACAUCGGAAUGUACCCAGUAGUGGGGGAUAACUAGUCGAAAGAUUAGCUAAUACCGCAUACGCACUAUGGUGGAAAGCGGGGGAUCGCAAGACCUCGCGCUAUUGGAGCAGCCGAUGUCCGAUUAGGUAGUUGGUGGGGUAAAAGCCUACCAAGCCUGCGAUCGGUAACUGGUCUGAGAGGACGACCAGUCACACUGGGACUGAGACACGGCCCAGACUCCUACGGGAGGCAGCAGUGGGGAAUUUUGGACAAUGGGGGAAACCCUGAUCCAGCAAUGCCGCGUGUGUGACGAAGGCCUUCGGGUUGUAAAGCACUUUUGGCGGGAACGAAACGGCGCUUUCUAAUACAGAGUGCUAAUGACGGUACCCGCAGAAUAAGCACCGGCUAACUACGUG